rnacentral:rRNA from 1 species
GUGCCAGCAGCCGCGGUAAUUCCAGCUCCAAUAGCGCAUAUUAAAGUUGUUGUGGUUAAAAAGCUCGUAGUUGAACCUUGGGCCUGGCUGGCCGGUCCGCCUCACCGCGUGCACUGGUCCGGCCGGGCCUUUCCCUCUGUGGAACCCCAUACCCUUCACUGGGCGUGGCGGGGAAACAGGACAUUUACUUUGAAAAAAUUAGAGUGCUCCAGGCAGGCCUAUGCUCGAAUACAUUAGCAUGGAAUAAUAAAAUAGGACGCGCGGUUCUAUUUUGUUGGUUUAUAGGACCGCCGUAAUGAUUAAUAGGGACAGUCGGGGGCAUCAGUAUUCAACUGUCAGAGGUGAAAUUCUUGGAUCAGUUGAAGACUAACUACUGCGAAAGCAUUUGCCAAGGAUGUUUUCAUUAAUCAGGAACGAAAGUUAGGGGAUCGAAGACGAUCAGAUACCGUCGUAGUCUUAACCAUAAACUAUGCCGACUAGGGAUCGGACGGUGUUAUUCAUGACCCGUUCGGCACCUUACGAGAAAUCAAAGUGCUUGGGCUCCAGGGGGAGUAUGGUCGCAAGGCUGAAACUUAAAGAAAUUGACGGAAGGGCACCACCAGGGGUGGAGCCUGCGGCUUAAAUUUGACUCAACACGGGGAAACUCACCAGGGUCCAGACACAAUAAGGAUUGACAGAUUGAGAGCUCUUUUCUUGAUUUUGUGGGUGGGUGGUGCAUGGUCGGUCUUAGUUGGUGGGGUUGACUUGUCUGCUUAAAUUGCGAUAACGAACGAGACCUUAAUCUUGCUAAAUAAGCUCGCAUUGCUUCGGGCAGUGCCGCUGGCUUUCUUAGAAGGGACUUUUCGGCUCAAAGCCGGAAGGAA